rnacentral:rRNA from 1 species
UAAGGAAUAUUGGUCAAUGGAGGCAACUCUGAUCCAGCCAUGCCGCGUGAAGGAAUAAGGCCCUAUGGGUUGUAAACUUCUUUUAGACGGGACAAAACCCCUUUACGUGUAAAGGGUUGAUGGUACUGUCAGAAUAAGCAUCGGCUAACUUCGUGCCAGCAGCCGCGGUAAUACGAAGGAUGCAAGCGUUAUCCGGAAUUAUUGGGUUUAAAGGGUGCGUAGGCGGACUAAUAAGUCAGUGGUGAAAGCCUGCAGCUUAACUGCAGAAUUGCCAUGGAUACUGUUAGUCUUGAGUACAGUUGAGGUAGGCGGAAUGUGUCAUGUAGCGGUGAAAUGCUUAGAUAUGACACAGAACACCGAUUGCGAAGGCAGCUUGCUAAGCUGUAACUGACGCUGAGGCACGAAAGCGUGGGGAGCAAACA